rnacentral:rRNA from 1 species
CACAUUCAAAGAGUGCGUAAUAGCUCACUAGUCGAGAGGUCCUGCGCCGAAAAUUCACGGGGCUGAAACACGACACCGAAGCUUAGGGAUGGGAAACCAUCGGUAGAGGAGCAUUGAAAACCCAUAGAAGCAGGACUGGAAAGUCCUGUGGAGAGUUUUGAAGAGAGAAUGCCGGAAUGAGUAGCGAGAUGGAGGUGGGAAUCCUCCAGGCCGAAAAUCUAAGGUUUCCAGGGUAAAGCUGAUCUGCCCUGGGGAAGUCGGGGCCUAAGGCGAGGCUGAAAAGCGUAGUCGAUGGAGAACUGGUGAAGAUUCCAGUACCGAAUGAUAUCAGAACUGCGGGGACACAUGGGGGAAGGAAGAGCCGGGAGAGAGAAGACCGGUGCAAGCGCCGAAAGGCGUGAAGCGGAACGAAGAAAAGUAGGGAAGCUUCCGGAGACUGUGGCGAGAAAAGCCGCUAUUGUGUAUCAUGAGCCCGUACCGCAAACCGACACAGGUAGAUGAGGAGAGAAUCCUAAGGCCGACGGGAGAAGCAUUGUUAAGGAACUCGGCAAAAUGACCCCGUAACUUCGGGAGAAGGGGUGCUGCAGAGAUGCAGCCGCAGAGAAAAGGCUCAAGCAACUGUUUAGCAAAAACACAGGUCUAUGCGAAACCGUAAGGUGAGGUAUAUGGGCUGACGCCUGCCCGGUGCUGGAAGGUUAAGAGGAGAGGUUAGCGAAAGCGAAGCUUUGAAUUUAAGCCCCAGUAAACGGCGGCCGUAACUAUAACGGUCCUAAGGUAGCGAAAUUCCUUGUCGGGUAAGUUCCGACCCGCACGAAAGGCGUAAUGAUUUGAGCGCUGUCUCAACAAUGCACCCGGUGAAAUUGAAGUACCAGUGAAGAUGCUGGUGACCUGCGCCAGGACGGAAAGACCCCAUGGAGCUUUACUCCAGCUUGAUACCGGGAUUCGGUGUUACUCGUACAGGAUAGGUGGGAGGCUAAGAAGGAAGGACGCCAGUCUUUCCGGAGCCGCUGUUGGGAUACCACCCCUGUGGCACUGGAUUUCUAACCUACAUCCGUGAUCCGGAUGGGGGACAAUGUCAGGUGGGGAGUUUGACUGGGGCGGUCGCCUCCGAAAGUGUAUCGGAGGCGCUCAAAGGUUCCCUCAGAAUGGUUGGAAACCAUUCGAAGAGCGCAAAGGCAGAAGGGAGCUUGACUGCGACACCGACGGGUGGAGCAGGUACGAAAGUAGGACUUAGUGAUCCGGUGGUAUAAAGUGGGAUUGCCAUCGCUCAACGGAUAAAAGCUACCCUGGGGAUAACAGGCUUAUCACUCCCAAGAGUUCACAUCGACGGAGUGGUUUGGCACCUCGAUGUCGGCUCAUCGCAUCCUGGGGCUGUAGCAGGUCCCAAGGGUUGGGCUGUUCGCCCAUUAAAGCGGUACGCGAGCUGGGUU